GGCCUGCUGGCCCAAUGGCAAGGCGCUUGACUACGAAGCAGUAGAUUUAUCAAGAGAUUGCAGGUUCGAUCCCUGCGUAGGUCA